rnacentral:rRNA from 1 species
AUUGAACGCUGGCGGCAUGCCUUACACAUGCAAGUCGAACGGUAACGCGGGGCAACCUGGCGACGAGUGGCGAACGGGUGAGUAAUGCAUCGGAACGUGCCCAGUAGAGGGGGAUAGCCCGGCGAAAGCCGGAUUAAUACCGCAUACGACCUACGGGUGAAAGGGGGGGAUCGCAAGACCUCUCGCUAUUUGGGCGGCCGAUGUCAGACUAGCUAGUUGGUGGGGUAAAAGCCUACCAAGGCGACGAUCUGUAGCUGGUCUGAGAGGACGACCAGCCACACUGGGACUGAGACACGGCCCAGACUGCUACGGGAGGCAGCAGUGGGGAAUUUUGGACAAUGGGCGAAAGCCUGAUCCAGCCAUGCCGCGUGCGGGAAGAAGGCCUUCGGGUUGUAAACCGCUUUUGUCAGGGAAGAAAUCUUCUGAGUUAAUACCUCGGGAGGAUGACGGUACCUGAAGAAUAAGCACCGGCUAACUACGUGUCAGCCGCCGCAGUAA